rnacentral:rRNA from 1 species
UACGAAGGGGGCUAGCGUUGUUCGGAUUUACUGGGCGUAAAGCGCACGUAGGCGGAUCUUUAAGUCAGAGGUGAAAUCCCAAGGCUCAACCUUGGAACUGCCUUUGAUACUGGGGAUCUUGAGUCCGGAAGAGGUGAGUGGAACUCCGAGUGUAGAGGUGAAAUUCGUAGAUAUUCGGAAGAACACCAGUGGCGAAGGCGGCUCACUGGUCCGGUACUGACGCUGAGGUGCGAAAGCGUGGGGAGCAAACAGG